UUCUAAUAUCCGAAACAAGUUAAAUCUAGACAAACAACAACAAAACACAUAUCACCAUAGGGAAAGCUAACAAUAUUCUCGAUGACCUUGCUUAGGGUUGCAUGUAUCACUCGAUAUAAUAGUAGCAACCUUGAGAUGUCAUCAUUAGCACAUACAAGACAUCAUGUGAAAGAAAAUUGCAAAUCCUCAUACAACAUGAACAUGUCACAAU
rnacentral:lncRNA from 1 species